rnacentral:tRNA from 1 species
GUGGUCGUAACUCAGUUGGUAGAGCAUGCGAUUGAAGAUCGUAGGGUUGUGCAAUAGGGUCAUUGCCAUCGCACCUACACCA